rnacentral:miRNA from 1 species
UCAGGUAUGAUUGACUUCAAA